rnacentral:rRNA from 1 species
AUUGAACGCUGGCGGCAUGCCUUACACAUGCAAGUCGAAACGGCAGCACGGGAGCAAUCCUGGUGGCGAGUGGCGAACGGGUGAGUAAUAUAUCGGAACGUGCCCAGUCGUGGGGGAUAACGUAGCGAAAGCUACGCUAAUACCGCAUACGAUCUAUGGAUGAAAGCGGGGGAUCGCAAGACCUCGCGCGAUUGGAGCGGCCGAUAUCAGAUUAGGUAGUUGGUGAGGUAAAGGCUCACCAAGCCGACGAUCUGUAGCUGGUCUGAGAGGACGACCAGCCACACUGGGACUGAGACACGGCCCAGACUCCUACGGGAGGCAGCAGUGGGGAAUUUUGGACGAUGGGCGCAAGCCUGAUCCAGCAAUGCCGCGUGCAGGAUGAAGGCCUUCGGGUUGUAAACUGCUUUUGUACGGAACGAAACGGUGAGCUCUAAUACAGUUUGCUAAUGACGGUACCGUAAGAAUAAGCACCGGCUAACUACGUG